rnacentral:rRNA from 1 species
GCUAACCGCAAGGAGGCAGCCGUCGAAGGUGGGGUUGGUGAUUGGGGUGAAGUCGUAACAAGGUAGCCGUAUCGGAAGGUGCGGCUGGAUCACCUCCUUUCUAAGGAG